AACACACUUUCUUCAAUAAAUAAAUAGUUUCUGGAAUUUGUGGAAGAUAUCAAGAAAUGGAAAUUAAGAUUAACUGGUUUGUACUCUUUCUUGGCCUAAUGUUGAUCACAGGAACCAUUGAAUCUGGUUCAGAUCUCCCUAGGAAAAUGAGUAGUCACACAACCAAUGAUGUUGCUAUCGAAAAUAAGUAUACCAUGGACAAACAUCCUAUACAUGCGGAUGGGUUUGAUGAUGAUUUCGGAAAAGGAAUAGAUUCUCACCACUUUUAUGGGUUUGCCAAGCGUCCUGGGUCUGGUAAAUAGUUGUAAAAUCAACCUCUAUGUGGUAUAUGCAUUGAAAACAUGGAUAAGAUAUAUAUGUAUACAUCCUUGUGAUAGAAUAAUGUUGGCUGAGUUCGUCCAACUCACUCACUGAUCCAUGUUACCUAUGUGUGUUUUAAUUAGUGUAUAAAUAUGUAAAUAUGAUUGUAUGUGUUUUACGUUUAUGCUUUGUUAAAUCCAUGUUAAAUGAAAUUAAUAUGAUUAUGACA